rnacentral:lncRNA from 1 species
GGGUUCAGUAAGUAGAGUUUAAGAUUUAGUAUUUAGAUGGAUGAGUGAUGUUUAGGGUUUAAUAUUUAGGAGUUGGAAUUUGGAAUAAAGUUUAAUAUUUAGGAGUUGUGAAUAGAUUUGGAGUCCUAUGAUGACGAUAUGGUAUAGAAAACUCGGAUGGAUAUUUAUGUGGUAAACAACGUGUCGUGUUAGUGGGUGGUGUUAUAAUUAAUAGUUGAGUUUUACAACCAACCAUAUCAUCUACUUUUUCUCUCUACCAUAAGUUACUUGCAAAAGAUGAGGAUAUAACCGGCUGAAAAAAGGUUAAAUGUUAGUUAGUUAAUUAUGUCAAAAUCAAUGUCUUAUACUUAAUUCUUAUUUUC